AUGCAACUGAUAAACAAGCAUGCCCCAAUGCGAAAAAUAAGAGUGAAGGCCCAAAACAACCCUUGGUUUACACCAGAAUUAGCCAAGCUUCUGCAGGAUAGAAAUGCAGUUUGGGCUAAAGCCAGAAGCACAAAGGCUGAGUCAGACUGGUUUCACUUUAGGAAGUUGAGAAACCUCUAUACUUCACAGAUAAAAAAGGCAAAAUCAGAUUUCUAUUUACUCGAAACAUCACAAAAUCUAAAUAAUCCGGUUAAAUUUUGGAAAAUGGUUAAAUCACUGUCGCAAGCCGACAAUACAGAAAUUAGCAAAAUUAUUACCAAAAAUGGCCACCUGAUAACAGAGAAGACCACUAUUUUAGAUAGUUUUAACGAACAUUUUAUUUCAUCAGGUUCCUUAUUUGAAUCUCAACCACCUUCCUGUUCUUUGUCUAAUCCGCUCACUGCAUCCUUAACUGAUACUUCAUGUAAUUUAACUACGCAAAAAUUUGAUUUCAUUCAGUUUUCUGUUUCCGAUGUUCAUAAAGCUCUUAUCCAGUUAGAUCCAAAAAACCCCGCAGGGCCUGAUAAGCUGGAACCUUUUUAUCUAAAGGUAGCAGCAGAUUUUAUUGCUGAACCUUUAGCAUAUUUAUUUAAUCUUUCUAUCUCUUCGUGUGAACUUCCAAGGAUCUGGAAGACUGCCUUCGUUUCUCCUCUGUUUAAAGGGGGUGACCCAAUGCAUUUAAAUAACUAUAGGCCAAUAUCUAAAUUGUGUGUCCUAUCUAAACUUUUAGAGAAACUAGUGAACGAACAAUUAAAAACUUAUCUGGAAUUAAAUAAACUUCACUCUCCCUUCCAGUCCGGUUUUAGAAAACAACAUAGUACCAUUACAGCCGGAAUGAAAGUGCUACGGAUUAUAACUACUGCUUUAGAUGGUAAACAGAUUUGUUCAGCUCUUUUCCUCGAUUUAUCAAAGGCUUUUGACACAGUUGAUCAUGGCUGCUUAUUAAAAAGACUUGCCACUGUUGGUCUUUCUGAUUCUGCUAUAAAUUGGUUUGCUGACCAUCUAUCAGGUAGAACACAGUCUGUGGUCUUGAAAGACUGUAUGUCAUCUGUCCUGUCAGUUUCAAAGGGUGUUCCUCAGGGAUCAGUUUUGGGACCCAUUUUAUUUUCGUUAUAA
rnacentral:lncRNA from 12 species